rnacentral:rRNA from 1 species
GAUGAACGCUAGCUACAGGCUUAACACAUGCAAGUCGAGGGGCAGCGAGAUUGAAGCUUGCUUCAAUUGCCGGCGACCGGCGCACGGGUGAGUAACGCGUAUCCAACCUUCCGUACACUCAGGGAUAGCCUUUCGAAAGAAAGAUUAAUACCUGAUGGUAUGAUGAGAUUGCAUGAUAUCAUCAUUAAAGAUUUAUCGGUGUACGAUGGGGAUGCGUUCCAUUAGGUAGUAGGCGGGGUAACGGCCCACCUAGCCAACGAUGGAUAGGGGUUCUGAGAGGAAGGUCCCCCACAUUGGAACUGAGACACGGUCCAAACUCCUACGGGAGGCAGCAGUGAGGAAUAUUGGUCAAUGGACGAGAGUCUGAACCAGCCAAGUAGCGUGAAGGAUGAAGGUCCUACGGAUUGUAAACUUCUUUUAUAAGGGAAUAAGCCCUCCCACGUGUGGGAGCUUGUAUGUACCUUAUGAAUAAGCAUCGGCUAACUCCGUG